rnacentral:rRNA from 1 species
UGGGGAAUAUUGGACAAUGGGCGAAAGCCUGAUCCAGCCAUGCCGCGUGAGUGAUGAAGGCCUUAGGGUUGUAAAACUCUUUCGCCGGGGAAGGUAAUGACGGUACCCGGAGAAGAAGCUCCGGCUAACUUCGUGCCAGCAGCCGCGGUAAUACGAAGGGAGCUAGCGUUGUUCGGAAUUACUGGGCGUAAAGCGCACGUAGGCGGCCAACUAAGUCAGACGUGAAAUCCCUCGGCUUAACCGGGGAACUGCGUCUGAUACUGGAUGGCUUGAAUCCGGGAGAGGGAUGUGGAAUUCCAGGUGUAGCGGUGAAAUGCGUAGAUAUCUGGAGGAACACCGGUGGCGAAGGCGGCAUCCUGGACCGGUAUUGACGCUGAGUGAGCGAAAGCCAGGGGAGCAAACGGGAUUAGAUACCCUCGUAGUCCCUGAGCGGGCUGGCAAGGCGCAU